rnacentral:rRNA from 1 species
CCUGGAGAGUUUGAUCCUGGCUCAGAGCGAACGCUGGCGGCAGGCUUAACACAUGCAAGUCGAACGGGCACUUCGGUGCUAGUGGCAGACGGGUGAGUAACACGUGGGAACGUACCUUUCGGUUCGGAAUAAUUCAGGGAAACUUGGACUAAUACCGGAUACGCCCUUCGGGGGAAAGAUUUAUCGCCGAUAGAUCGGCCCGCGUCUGAUUAGCUAGUUGGUGAGGUAAUGGCUCACCAAGGCGACGAUCAGUAGCUGGUCUGAGAGGAUGAUCAGCCACAUUGGGACUGAGACACGGCCCAAACUCCUACGGGAGGCAGCAGUGGGGAAUAUUGGACAAUGGGCGCAAGCCUGAUCCAGCCAUGCCGCGUGAGUGAUGAAGGCCUUAGGGUUGUAAAGCUCUUUUGUCCGGGAAGAUAAUGACUGUACCGGAAGAAUAAGCCCCGGCUAACUUC